rnacentral:rRNA from 1 species
GACUCUCGGCAACGGAUAUCUAGGCUCUCGCAUCGAUGAAGAACGUAGCAAAAUGCGAUACUUGGUGUGAAUUGCAGAAUCCCGUGAACCAUCGAGUCUUUGAACGCAAGUUGCGCUCGGAGCUGAGAGGCCGAGGGCAUGCCUGCCUGGG